rnacentral:rRNA from 1 species
CUAGUUGCCCUCAUUCGGUGGGCACUCCCGGAGACUGCCGGUGAUAAGCCGAGAGGAAGGUGUGGAUGACGUCAAGUCCUCCUGGCCCUUACGGGCUGGGCUACACACGUGCUACAAUGGCGGUGACAGUGGGAUGCUAAGGGGCGACCCUUCACAAAUCUCAAAAAGCCGUCUCAGUUCGGAUUGUACUCUGCAACUCCAGUACAUGAAGGUGGAAUCGCUAGUAAUCGUAGAUCAGAACGCUACGGUGAAUACGUUCCCGGGCCUUGCACACACCGCCCGU